AUGAGGGUGCAUAGGAAAGCUAUGGCCUCCCUCACAAUGCUUGUUAGCUGGAUUAUAUGGAAUGAGAGGAACGUGAGGAUUUUCCGCAACAAGUCCAAGCCACCCAACAUCCUAUUUAUCAACAUAAAGAGCGAGGCUAAACUUUGGAUCACCGCCGGGGCAAAAAAUGUGGGUCUUUUGAUGCCGGGAGAGUAA
rnacentral:rRNA from 1 species